UAACUCAGUUGGUUACAGCAUGGUGCUGAUAACACCAAGGCCGCAGGUUCGAUUUCUGC
rnacentral:tRNA from 1 species